GACGAACGCUGGCGGCGUGCUUAACACAUGCAAGUCGAACGGUGACCCCUCUUCGGAGGGUGAUCAGUGGCGAACGGGUGAGUAACACGUGAGUAACCUGCCCCUGGCUCUGGGACAACCACUGGAAACGGUGGCUAAUCCCGAAUACGACCCGCGAUCGCAUGGUGUGAGGGUGGGACGUUCUUCGGCUGGGGGUGGGCUCGCGGCCUAUCAGCUUGGUGGUGGGGUGAUGGCCUACCAAGGCGACGACGGGUAGCCGGCCUGAGAGGGCGACCGGCCACACUGGGACUGAGACACGGCCCAGACUCCUACGGGAGGCAGCAGUGGGGAAUAUUGCACAAUGGGCGAAAGCCUGAUGCAGCGACGCCGCGUGAGGGAUGACGGCCUUCGGGUUGUAAACCUCUUUCAGCUCCGAAGAAGCGCAAGUGACGGUAGGAGCAGAAGAAGCACCGGCUAACUACGUGCCAGCCGCCGCAGUAAUAC
rnacentral:rRNA from 1 species